UUCCCUUCUGGUGGAUGGAGUCAUCUUGCCUUGGAAUGGAACUCUUAUGAAGGACUAUUUCAAAAUUAUUUGGACUAGCCAGCUGAUUACCAGGAAUUUCCACACAAGGAUGCUUUCUCUCCACACUUCAAGUGGCAGGCCACCAUGAGGCUUGCAGCUUCCUCUACAGGCAUAUGGGCAUAUGUUGCCUCACCCACCACAAGGCCCAAACAACAGGGCUUAUAAAUUUCAAGCUUU